rnacentral:snRNA from 1 species
GGAUGUGAGGGAGAUCUGACUGCGACAUCUGUCAUCCCAUUGAUCGCCAGGGUUGGUUCGGCUGAUCUGGCUGGCUAGGCAGGUGUCCCCUUCCUCCCUCAAUGCUCCAUGUGCAUCCCUCCCGAAGCUGCGUGCUUGGUCGAAGAGGACCACCACCCCUGAUAGAGGAGGACCAUUCCUCGGUCAAGGGUAUACGAGUAGCUGCGCUCCCCUGCUAGAACCUCCAAACAAGCUCUCAAAGCUGAGGUUGAAAAUAUUUUUCUUAUAAACAGAGAGCAAAUAUUUUAGGCUUUGCAAGCCAUAUAUU